rnacentral:tRNA from 1 species
GGUUGUAUAGUGUAGUGGUUAGCACGUGGGAUUUUGAUUCGGAUCCAUCUUCAAAGAUUGGACAAAACAAUUUGUUUACUAUAAGCAAUUUUCCCGAAUCCCCGGUUCGAGCCCGGGUACGACCU